UACGAAGGGGGCUAGCGUUGCUCGGAAUCACUGGGCGUAAAGCGCACGUAGGCGGAUCGUUAAGUUAGGGGUGAAAUCCUGGAGCUCAACUCCAGAACUGCCUCUAAUACUGGCGAUCUAGAGUCCGGAAGAGGUGAGUGGAACUCCUAGUGUAGAGGUGGAAUUCGUAGAUAUUAGGAAGAACACCAGUGGCGAAGGCGGCUCACUGGUCCGGUACUGACGCUGAGGUGCGAAAGCGUGGGGAGCAAACAGG
rnacentral:rRNA from 1 species